rnacentral:snRNA from 1 species
GGAUGUGAGGGCGAUCUGGCUGCAACAUUUGUCACCCACUGAUGGCCAGGGUUGAUUUGGCUGAUCUGGCUGGCUAGGUACUGUUCCAUGUGCAUCCCUCCCGAAGCUGUGCGCUCGGUCGAAGGGGACAACCUUCCCCAAUAGAGGCAUACCGUUCAUCGGUCAAGGGUAUAUGGUAGCUGCACUCCCCCACUAUAACCUCCAAACAAGCUCAAGGUCCAUACUGUGAAAUCUCUGGCGGCUAUGCAGUAACUGCCGCCAG